GCCAGAGUGGUGUAGUGGUUUAAGCAAUGGACUAAGCCUCUGUAGACCAGGGUUCAAUUCCUUGCUUGGCCA